UAGGGAAUCUUCCACAAUGGACGCAAGUCUGAUGGAGCAACGCCGCGUGAGUGAAGAAGGUUUUCGGACCGUAAAGCUCUGUUGUUGGUGAAGAAGGAUAGAGGUAGUAACUGGCCUUUAUUUGACGGUAAUCAACCAGAAAGUCACGGCUAACUACGUGCCAGCAGCCGCGGUAAUACGUAGGUGGCAAGCGUUGUCCGGAUUUAUUGGGCGUAAAGCGAGCGCAGGCGGAAGAAUAAGUCUGAUGUGAAAGCCCUCGGCUUAACCGAGGAAUUGCAUCGGAAACUGUUUUUCUUGAGUGCAGAAGAGGAGAGUAGAACUCCAUGUGUAGCGGUGGAAUGCGUAGAUAUAUGGAAGAAUACCAGUGGCGAAGGCGGCUCUCUGGUCUGCAACUGACGCUGAGGCUCGAAAGCAUGGGUAGCGAACAGG
rnacentral:rRNA from 1 species